AACGAACGCUGGCGGCGCGCCUAACACAUGCAAGUCGAACGAGAAGGCGUAGCAAUACGCUUGUACAGUGGCGAACGGGUGAGGAACACGUGGGUAACCUACCCUCGAGUGGGGAAUAACCAACCGAAAGGUUGGCUAAUGCCGCGUAAGCUUCCAUCUCUUCGGAGGUGGAAGGAAAGCUGUACCGUGGGUACAGCGCUCAAGGAUGGGCUCACGUCCUAUCAGCUUGUUGGUAGGGAACGGCCUACCAAGGCAACGACGGGUAGCUGGUCUGAGAGGACGAUCAGCCACACUGGCACUGCGACACGGGCCAGACUCCUACGGGAGGCAGCAGUGAGGAAUAUUGCGCAAUGGGCGAAAGCCUGACGCAGCGACGCCGCGUGGGGGA
rnacentral:rRNA from 1 species